rnacentral:rRNA from 1 species
GAACGCUGGCGGCAGGCCUAACACAUGCAAGUCGAGCGGCAGCGGGUUCCCGCGAGGGGAUGCCGGCGAGCGGCGGACGGGUGAGGAACACAUCGGAAUCUGCCUGGUUGUGGGGGAUAACGUAGGGAAACUUACGCUAAUACCGCAUGAGACCCUGAGUCGACGGACUGGGGGUGAAAGUGAGGGACCUUCGGCCUCACGCGACCAGAUGAGCCGAUGUCGGAUUAGCUAGNGGGCGGGGGUAACGGCCCGCCAAGGCGACGAUCCGUAGCUGGUCUGAGAGGAUGAUCAGCCACACUGGGACUGAGACACGGCCCAGACUCCUACGGGAGGCAGCAGUGGGGAAUCUUGGACAAUGGGCG